rnacentral:rRNA from 1 species
AUACGGAGGGUCCAAGCGUUAUCCGGAAUCAUUGGGUUUAAAGGGUCCGCAGGCGGUCAAUUAAGUCAGAGGUGAAAGCCCAUCGCUCAACGAUGGAACUGCCUUUGAUACUGGUUGACUUGAGUUAUACGGAAGUAGAUAGAAUAAGUAGUGUAGCGGUGAAAUGCAUAGAUAUUACUUAGAAUACCGAUUGCGAAGGCAGUCUACUACGUAUAUACUGACGCUGAGGGGCGAAAGCGUGGGGAGCGAACAGGAUUAGAAACCCUAGUAGUCC